UACGUAGGGUGCAAGCGUUAAUCGGAAUUACUGGGCGUAAAGCGUGCGAAGGCGGUGAUGUAAGACAGAUGUGAAAUCCCCGGGCUCAACCUGGGACCUGCAUUUGUGACUGCAUCGCUAGAGCACGGUAGAGGGGGAUGGAAUUCCGCGUGUAGCAGUGAAAUGCGUAGAUAUGCGGAGGAACACCGAUGGCGAAGGCAAUCCCCUGGACCUGUACUGACGCUCAUGCACGAAAGCGUGGGGAGCAAACAGG
rnacentral:rRNA from 1 species